UCAUUAUUGAAGCUUUGAAUCGUAGCGUUGAGAACUGUUGCUGGCCUUUUGUUGGUAUGUGCACGUUCGACACGUUGCGUUUCUCUUCUAUUCAAUUCCACCUGUGCACCUUUGUAGACUUGGUGAAUCUCUCGCCUUAGUGCGGUCAGAAGGGUUUGCUUUCGAGCUCCCUUCGGGUUACCAAAGUCUAUGUUUGUAUAUCAUCUCUUGUAUGUCUUAGAAUGUGUUGGUUAUCGGACGCAAGUCCUUUAAAUGUUAAUACAACUUUCAACAACGGAUCUCUUGGCUCUCGCAUCGAUGAAGAACGCAGCGAAAUGCGAUAACUAAUGUGAAUUGCAGAAUUCAGUGAAUCAUCGAGUCUUUGAACGCACCUUGCGCCCUUUGGUAUUCCAAAGGGCAUGCCUGUUUGAGUGUCAUUAAAUUCUCAACCUCCCUCUGUUUCUGAACUGAGGCGGAUUGGAUGGUGGGGGCUUGCUGGUUUCUUAACGAGAUCAGCUCCUCUGAAAUGCAUUAGCAGAAACCGUUUGACGUUGGCUUGCUAGGCUGUGAUAAUAUCUACGCUUUUUGCAAGUCGGGUUGAAAUACGAGUCUUACCAUUGGGUUGCAUCUUGCUUAGUAUCAGUUUGGAGGGUGCUUAAUGCUCCUUCUGGUUUCUAUUGAACUUUGCUCUCCUUGCUCCCUUUGACUCUGUAGAAGGCUUUCAGCUUCUAACCGGUCCAUUGACUUGGACAAUCUAUUGACUCUUUUGACCUCAAAUCAGGUAGGAUUACCCGCUGAACUUAAGCAUAUCAAUAAGCGGAGGAAAAGAAACUAACAAGGAUUCCCCUAGUAACUGCGAGUGAAGAGGGAAAAGCUCAAAUUUAAAAUCUGGCAGCU
rnacentral:rRNA from 1 species